rnacentral:sRNA from 1 species
GUAGCCCUAGCUGUCCUGGAACAUUCUGUGUAAAUCAGGCUGACCCCAAAUUCGCAGAGCUCUGCCCACCUCUAUCCCCCAAGUACUUGGAUUAAAGGCAUGUGACACCAAUUGCAAAACAUCUACAUUGUAGAAAUCUUGAAAAAUAAAUGAAAAAUAAAAUGUAAGCCCUCCAUAAACACCGGAAUGCUGCCGUGUUGGUAGAUAACUUUUAUUAUUUCAACAUUUCAGCACAGGUAGAAAAUGAACUCAGGGUUUUGUGCAUACAUAGCUCUCUUUUUAAACAGUAAAAAUUAAUUAAAUGAAAUUGUGAUGAUUAUUUUAACCAGUAGUUUAAGAUGCAGAUAUUUCAGCCUGGUCUAAUACCAUUUUCACUAAAUCUUGUUUUCAUGAAUAGGUAGAAAAUGUUUACCCUCAACCUGGCUGGGUUGAAAUCGAUCCUGAUGCUCUCUGGGCUCAGUUUGUUGCUGUAAUAAAAGAUGCUGUCAAAGCUGCAGGGGUGCAGAUGAAUCAAAUUGUUGGUCUCGGCAUAUCAACACAGAGAGCCACUUUCAUUACAUGGAACAA